rnacentral:tRNA from 1 species
CAAGUUAUAUUAUAGUAAUAUGAAUUAUUUACAAUAAUUUCAUUGGUUUGUGCAAUUCAUCCUAACUUGA